rnacentral:rRNA from 1 species
CAGGUCGAGUUGUAAUUUGAAGAUACGUUUUUGACGUUCCGGGUUGAACUAAAUCCUUUGGGAUAAGGUAUCAUGGAGGGUGAGAAUCCCGUAUAUACCAACCRUAGGGAUGUUAUUUAAUACGUUUCUAAGAGUCGAGUUGUUUGGGAAUGCAGCUCUAAAUGGGUGGUAAAUUUCACCUAAUGCUAAAUAUAAGCGAGAGACCGAUAGCGAACAAGUACAGUGAUGGAAAGAUGAAAAGAACUUUGAAAAGAGAGUUAAAUAGUACGUGAAAUUGUUGAAAGGGAAACGAUUGAAGUCAGUCAUGCCAGUGGGAAUCAACUUAGAGGAAACUCUGAGUGCACUUCUUCGCUUGGCAGGUCAACGUCGAUUUUGGAUGUCAUAAAAUGAUUGGGGGAAGGUAGCUCCUUCGGGAGUGUUAUAGCCCUUGGUAGAUGUGAUGUCUGGGAUCGAGGAUUGCAAUGGAUACCCUUUGGGGCUAGCCGCCUGAUCUCUAAUYGGUAUUGGGUUACGGAUAGCAUGCUGACCGUGAUCUAAUUAUUGGUUAAAAGGUUAG